rnacentral:rRNA from 1 species
CACGGCAUGCCUCGGUAUAGGCGAGUGAAGCGGCAAAAGCUCAAAUUUGAAAUCCUUCGGGAGUUGUAAUUUGUAGGUUGGGAGACCCCGCGGCUAGUGGCACCAAGUCCCUUGGAACAGGGCGCCUUAGAGGGUGAGAGCCCCGUAGGUACCACAAUACCGUCUUGUGUCUCCUCUCCAAAGAGUCGAGUGUUUGGGAAUUGGA